UACGAGGGGGGCGAGCGUUGUUCUGAAUUAUUGGGCGUAAAGGGUGCGUAGGCGGUUUGGUAAGUCUGAUGUGAAAUCUAUGGGCUCAACUCAUAGUCUGCAUCGGAAACUGCCGGGCUUGAGUAUGGGAGAGGUGAGUGGAAUUCCUGGUGUAGCGGUGAAAUGCGUAGAUAUCAGGAGGAACACCUGUGGCGAAAGCGGCUCACUGGACCAUAACUGACGCUGAUGCACGAAAGCUAGGGGAGCAAACAGG
rnacentral:rRNA from 1 species